UGAUUUUGAAACAUUUUAAAC
ensembl:piRNA 21ur-13229 ncRNA